UCUGUUUUGAAACCUGUUCAUGAUACGGUUGAACCUGGCAACAUGAAAAUGAUUGAAGGGAAAGUUAUCAGUGAGCUAGAUGCAGCAAGUCCAAAUGAUGCUUCCAUCAGGGCAGAGCAAGCUUGUGACGAGACUGGUAAGAGUUCUGUGAGAACCGUCCUGGAUAUUUUGCCCAAUUUUGAGGAUAUAGCUGAUGUGGAUUACAUGAAAUUGCUGGAGUUGGCUAACAGUGUUGAGGAGGAAAUAUACAAGCAAGCAAUGGAAAUGCCUCUGUCUCCUACACUCCCUGAAAUCAGUUUUCCGGAGGCUUUAGUAUUAUCUGAUGUGACAAGGAAUACAGAGCUUGGCAGCAUCUUCCAUGGGGAGGCUGACACCAUUGAUAUGGAACUGCACUGCAAUGAAUCAAGAGGUCAUGGCUCUAAAACCAUUCGUGAGGGAUCUCGACAUGAGAAGGAAGAUUUAGUCGGGGAUGUCUAUUCUCAAUCACUGGAAGCAGAUAAA
rnacentral:lncRNA from 1 species